rnacentral:rRNA from 1 species
AGGACGAACGCUGGCGGCGUGCUUAACACAUGCAAGUCGAGCGAACCUUCGGGUUAGCGGCGAACGGGUGAGUAACACGUGGGCAACCUGCCCCGAGCUCUGGGAUAACUCCGGGAAACCGGGGCUAAUACCGGAUAUGACCCGAGAAGACAUCUUCUCGGGUGGAAAGUUUUUCGGCUCGGGAUGGGCCCGCGGCCUAUCAGCUUGUUGGUGGGGUAACGGCCUACCAAGGCGACGACGGGUAGCC